rnacentral:rRNA from 1 species
AUUGAACGCUGGCGGCAUGAUUUACACAUGCAAGUCGAACGGUAACAGGCCGCCAGGUGCUGACGAGUGGCGCACGGGUGAGUAAUGCAUCGGAACGUGCCCAGUCGUGGGGGAUAACUACUCGAAAGAGUAGCUAAUACCGCAUACGAUCUAUGGAUGAAAGCGGGGGACCGUAAGGCCUCGCGCGAUUGGAGCGGCCGAUGUCAGAUUAGGUAAUUGGUGGGGUAAAGGCUCACCAAGCCAACGAUCUGUAGCUGGUCUGAGAGGACGACCAGCCACACUGGAACUGAGACACGGCCCAGACUCCUACGGGAGGCAGCAGUGGGGAAUUUUGGACAAUGGGCGCAAGCCUGAUCCAGCAAUGCCGCGUGCAGGAAGAAGGCCUUCGGGUUGUAAACUGCUUUUGUACGGAACGAAACGGCUCUGGUUAAUACCCGGGGCUAAUGACGGUACCGUAAGAAUAAGCACCGGCUAACUACGUG